rnacentral:rRNA from 1 species
UUCGCCUUCAUGAAGCCGGAAUUGCUAGUAAUGGCAGGUCAGCAUACUGCCGUGAAUACGUUCCCGGGCCUUGUACACACCGCCCGUCACACCAUGAGAGUUGGGAAUACCCGAAGCCUGUGAGCUAACUUUUAGAGGCAGCAGUCGGAGGUAGAAUCAAUGAUUGGGGUGAAGUCGUAACAAGGUAAC